GAGGAAGUAAAAGUCGUAACAAGGUUUCCGUAGGUGAACCUGCGGAAGGAUCAUUAUUGAAAUAAAUCUGAUAGGUUGCUGCUGGCUCUCUAGGGAGCAUGUGCACACUUAUCAUCUUUAUAUCUCCUCCUGUGCACCUUUUGUAGACCUGAAUAUUUUUCUGAAUGCGUAAGCAAUUCAGGCUUGAGGAUUUGAUAUUGUCUUUCCUUGUAUUUUCAGGUUUAUGUUUUUAUAUACCCCCAAUGUAUGUUAUAGAAUGUAAUAGAUGGGCUUCUGUGCCUAUAAAUCUAUACAACUUUCAGCAACGGAUCUCUUGGCUCUCGCAUCGAUGAAGAACGCAGCGAAAUGCGAUAAGUAAUGUGAAUUGCAGAAUUCAGUGAAUCAUCGAAUCUUUGAACGCACCUUGCGCUCCUUGGUAUUCCGAGGAGCAUGCCUGUUUGAGUGUCAUUAAUAUAUAUCAACCUCUUCGGCUUUUGCUUGUUGAGUGUUGGAUGUGGGGGGUAUCUUUUGCUGGCCUCUUUUGAAGUCGGCUCCCCUAAAAUGCAUUAGUGGAACAAUUUGUUGACCGUUCAUUGGUGUGAUAAUUAUCUACGCUAUUGACGUGAAGCAGAGUUCAGCUUCUAAUAGUCCAUUAACUUGGACAAUUUUCAUUAAUGUGACCUCAAAUCAGGUAGGACUACCCGCUGAACUUAAGCAUAUCA
rnacentral:rRNA from 1 species